UGACCCUUUUAAGCCGAGGGUCACCUAGCCAACUGACGUUGUUAGUGAACCAAAUUGUUCAUAUUGACAGCCAAUCACAAUUCUUGUGGUUGGCUUUUUUUAU
rnacentral:sRNA from 1 species